GAUGAACGCUAGCGGCAGGCCUAAUACAUGCAAGUCGAGGGGCAGCACGAGUAGCAAUACUUGGUGGCGACCGGCGCACGGGUGCGUAACACGUAUACAAUCUGCCUUUAACAGGGGGAUAGCCCGGAGAAAUCCGGAUUAAUACCCCAUAAUAAAUGAAACGGCAUCGUUUUAUUUUGAAAGCUCCGGCGGUUAAAGAUGAGUAUGCGCCUGAUUAGCUAGUUGGUGAGGUAACGGCUCACCAAGGCGACGAUCAGUAGGGGAUCUGAGAGGACUACCCCCCACACGGAUACUGAGACACGGAUCCGACUCCUACGGGAGGCAGCAGUAAGGAAUAUUGGACAAUGCCCGCAAGGGUGAUCCAGCCAUGCCGCGUGCAGGAAGACGGCCCUAUGGGUUGUAAACUGCUUAUACACCGGAGAAAACCCCUUCUCGUGAGGAGGGCUGAUAGUAUGGUGAGAAUAAGCAUCGGCUAACUUCGUGCCAGCAGCCGCGGU
rnacentral:rRNA from 1 species